AUACGUAGGUGGCAAGCGUUGUCCGGAUUUACUGGGUGUAAAGGGCGUGUAGGCGGAGAUGCAAGUCAGGAGUGAAAUCUAGGGGCUCAACCCCUAAACUGCUUUUGAAACUGUAUCCCUUGAGUAUCGGAGAGGCAGGCGGAAUUCCUAGUGUAGCGGUGAAAUGCGUAGAUAUUAGGAGGAACACCAGUGGCGAAGGCGGCCUGCUGGACGACAACUGACGCUGAGGCGCGAAAGCGUGGGGAGCAAACAGGAUUAGAAACCCUGGUAGUCCACGCUGUAAACGAUGAAUACUAGGUGUGGGGGGACUGACCCCCUCCGUGCCGCAGUUAACACAAUAAGUAUUCCACCUGGGGAGUACGAUCGCAAGAUUGAAACUCAAAGGAAUUGACGGGG
rnacentral:rRNA from 1 species